AGCAUUCACUGGGAACUGGUGCCGGUUGCUAUGCUACCCGAAGAACAUAGUUCGCUGACUUACUCUUCCCCAUGACUGAUGAAAUGGGUCCUACAUCACCCUCAUUGCACAGAUGUGGAGGCUGAAGUUCAACAAGGCUUAUGCAGCUCAGAGUGGCAGGGCCAGGGCAGGACCAUGGCAGCCUGGGCUGGAGUCUGGCAUUUUUCUGAUCACCUCCUGUCCCAUUCCACAUGCGUGAGGCUACCAGAAAUUAGAUUCUCCCAAUAAAUGAAGGAGACCAUAGGCAGAAGACAAGAACAAAGAAGCGAGGUCUUGAGAGACAGCGAACUCAGAGAAGGGAGGUCAGCUUAAGUCUACAUCCUGUAAAAGACGAAAGAUGAGUGGCCACUGGCGUUAGACCUACUUCACCAGCAAUGAACACAGAUGGCUCUUCCAGGAAGUCUUCCCUGAGCCCCAGAGCCACCAACCCCUCUGAGCUUCCCCACUGAGAAGAUUCUCACCUGUGGACAUCUGCAUCUGUGUCCACCUUGUACCACGGCAGGUUAUGUCACUCAUCCUGUGUGCCCAACCCCCAGGCCUAGCCUAGUGCUGGUGCUCAGUACCUGCUUGCAGAGAGAGACCUGCUCUUUGCUAUGAGGGCUACAGAUAGCACAGACAAAGGGUGUGAGAACCAAGGAAACCAGUGCUGACAUUUGUUGACUGAAUGUCCUCUUUGGAACAACAGGACAGCAAUAGGACCCUUCUCAGAGGUCUGUCCCGAGGAAAUAACUUGGUAACUUGCAUGAAACCUCAGCACGGCAUCUGGAGCACAGAAUGUGCACAGGAGAUGCAGGCCAAUGCAACUGCAAGUAUUUGUAACCAGAGAAAGCACUACAUUAUCUUUAAAAAAUUAAAACAAUAAAUGGCAACACAA